UACGUAGGGUGCAAGCGUUGUCCGGAAUUAUUGGGCGUAAAGAGCUCGUAGGCGGUCAGUCGCGUCUGCUGUGAAAACUCGGGGCUUAACUCCGGGCCUGCAGUGGGUACGGGCUGACUAGAGUGCGGUAGGGGGAGACUGGAAUUCCUGGUGUAGCGGUGAAAUGCGCAGAUAUCAGGAGGAACACCGGUGGCGAAGGCGGGUCUCUGGGCCGUAACUGACGCUGAGGAGCGAAAGCGUGGGGAGCGAACAGG
rnacentral:rRNA from 1 species